GACGUAGGGGGCAAGCGUUGUCCGGAAUCAUUGGGCGUAAAGCGCUCGUAGGUGGAUCGGUAAGUUUGGUGUGAAAUCUCCCGGCUCAACUGGGAGGGUGCGCCGAAUACUGAGAGGCUAGAGUGUGGGAGAGGAAAGUGGAAUUCCUGGUGUAGCGGUGAAAUGCGUAGAUAUCUGGAAGAACACCGGUGGCGCAAGCGGCUUGCUGGGCUGUAACUGACGCUGAGGAACGAAAGCUAGGGUAGCGAAUGGG
rnacentral:rRNA from 1 species